AGCAGCCGCGGUAAUUCCAGCUCCAAUAGCGUAUAUUAAAGUUGUUGCAGUUAAAAAGCUCGUAGUUGAAUUUCGGGACCAAUAUGUCUGUCGUGCCUUCGGUACGUACGGGUAUAAUUGGUUCCUACCUUCUGAUGAACCUUGAUGCCAUUAAUUUGGUGUCUUGGGGACUCAGGACUGUUACCUUGAAAAAAUUAGAGUGUUUAAAGCAGGCAUGCACUUGAAUACAUUAGCAUGGAAUAAUGAAAUAGGACGUUCGAUUCUAUUUUGUUGGUUUCUAGGAUCGACGUAAUGAUUAAUAGGGAUAGUUGGGGGCAUUAGUAUUCAAUUGUCAGAGGUGAAAUUCUUGGAUUUAUUGAAGGCUAACUACUGCGAAAGCAUUUGCCAAGGAUGUUUUCAUUAAUCAAGAACGAAAGUUAGGGGAUCGAAGACGAUCAGAUACCGUCGUAGUCUUAACCAUAAACUAUGCCGACUAGGGAUCGGAUGAUGUUAAUUUUUAAUGACUCAUUCGGCGCCUUAA
rnacentral:rRNA from 1 species